rnacentral:rRNA from 1 species
UCCUACGGGAGGCAGCAGUAGGGAAUCUUCCGCAAUGGACGAAAGUCUGACGGAGCAACGCCGCGUGAGUGAUGAAGGCUUUCGGGUCGUAAAACUCUGUUGUUAGGGAAGAACAAGUGCUAGUUGAAUAAGCUGGCACCUUGACGGUACCUAACCAGAAAGCCACGGCUAACUACGUGCCAGCAGCCGCGGUAAUACGGAGGGUGCAAGCGUUGUUCGGAAUUAUUGGGCGUAAAGCGCGUGUAGGCGGUUUGUUAAGUCUGAUGUGAAAGCCCCCGGCUCAACCGUGGAGGGUCAUUGGAAACUGGGAGACUUGAGUGCAGAAGAGGAAAGUGGAAUUCCAUGUGUAGCGGUGAAAUGCGUAGAGAUAUGGAGGAACACCAGUGGCGAAGGCGACUUUCUGGUCUGUAACUGACACUGAGGCGCGAAAGCGUGGGGAGCAAACAGGAUUAGAUACCCUGGUAGUCCACGCCGUAAACGAUGAGUGCUAAGUGUUAGAGGGUUUCCGCCCUUUAGUGCUGAAGUUAACGCAUUAAGCACUCCGCCUGGGGAGUACGGCCGCAAGGCUGAAACUCAAAGGAA